ACUUUUAAAGGAAACUAGCACUCCACUUGCCUUAGGAGCCAGCCCUU
rnacentral:tRNA from 1 species